GGGCAGCUAGCCAGUGAUGGCAUGCGAAUCUCGAAAGCCUAUCUCAGUUCGGAUUGGAGGCUGAAACCCGCCUCCAUGAAGUUGGAUUCGCUAGUAAUCGCGCAUCAGCCAUGGCGCGGUGAAUACGUUCCCGGGCCUUGUACACACCGCCCGUCAAGCCAUGGGAGCCGGGGGUGCCUGAAGUUCGUUACCGCAAGGAUCGACCUAGGGCAAAACUGGUGACUGGGGCUAAGUCGUAACAAGGUAAC
rnacentral:rRNA from 1 species